rnacentral:rRNA from 1 species
GACGAACGCUGGCGGCGGGCUUAACACAUGCAAGUCGAACGGAAAGGCCCUGCUUUUUUGGGGUGCUCGAGUGGCGAACGGGUGAGUAACACGUGAGUAACCUGCCCUGGACUUUGGGAUAACUUCAGGAAACUGGGGCUAAUACCGGAUAGGCGCUCCUGCUGCAUGGUGGGGGUCGGAAAGUUUCGGCGGUUGGGGAUGGACUCGCGGCUUAUCAGCUUGUUGGUGGGGUAGUGGCUUACCAAGGCUUUGACGGGUAGCCGGCCUGAGAGGGUGACCGGCCAGAUUGGGAAUGAGAUACGGCCAAGACUCCUACGGGAGGCAGCAGUGUGGAAUAUUGCACAAUGGACGGAAGCCGGAUGCAGCAACGCCGCGUGCGGGAUGACGGCCUUCGGGUUGUAGACCGCUUUCGCCUGUGACGAAGCGUGAGUGACGGGAAUGGGUAGCGAAGCACCGGCUAACUACGUG